GGCUGGUGAAUGUGAAAUUGUUUCUCUUUCUUGUGAAAAUCUGAGACGGAUGUGAAGUAUUUUCUGGUUAAGGAUAGUGAGGCUUUUGUCGGUAAUAUUCAAACAAAAUACCUCCAAGAAACGUUUAAUUCAUGACUGAGUUAUAUUAUUUUAAAUUUUAAAGAUCGAUGACUAGAGCUUUUAGAAAUCUUGCACCCAUUAUUAACAUGUGAACAAUUCCC
rnacentral:lncRNA from 1 species